UUCAACGAAUAUCUGUGGUAGCUUUGGGCAAAGUAAUUUACCAUUUACUUUUGCCCUGCCUCCUAUAAUGGAUGCUUCAAGUCUGGUGCAACAAGAAAGAUGGAAAGGGUUGAAGGACAACUCAAAGCUCGUGGCUUAUGUUGAAAAGAAUGAAUGACCGUGGAAACUGAUGUGUUAAGCGGAAAAAGUUGCAUACUGUGAACUACCUCAAACCAGAUAUAAAACGAGGAUACCUCAGCAUGCAGAAGAUCGCACCAUUAUUCCAUGCUCUUCAUUGGAAACAAAUGCUGCAUGUCAUUCGCCCAAAAAAAAACAAUGAAAUGAAGAAUUAUUGGAACACCGACAAGAAAAGGCCGGCUUAUAAUUAGAAUGGGUGUAGAUUUCAUUGCCCACGUACCAAAAGUCAACACUUUUGAAGCCUGUCUGGUGAUGACAAGGAUGUCAUCAAUAUGUACCACAUGGCACAAUAGGAGAGUGCCUGAUUUGAGGUUGAAGGCAGAGAAAUCAUUUUGCAAGUUGUAUCUAACUCCUUUGUUCCCCCAAUUCAUUAGAUUCACCAUCAAUCAAACACAACAAUGCAGUGUAUAACAUGUAUGCCCACGUACUUGUCACGAAUCAUGACCUUCAAUCAUGGGUAUCUACAUUGAGCUUUUUGUGUAGAAAGCUUAUUGUCUUGACCAAUGUAGGAGAAUUCACCAAUAUCAAAAGGUCACUCUCAUAUAAGUGUGAUGGUAAUAUCAUAGAAAGUAGUAGUUAAACUCAAAAGAUAAUGAAAGACUAGGUGUCAAACUUGCAAGAUGGUGUAGAAAGUGCAAGUUUGAGACUAGUCUUUUAUUAUCUUUUGAGUUUGACUACUAGUUUCUAUGACAUUACCCUCAUCCUUAUAUGAGAGUGAACUUUCGAUGCUGGUGAAUUGUUCUACAUUUUGAGACAAUAAGCUUUCUAUCCAAAAAGCUCAAUAUAGAUAGUCAUGAUUGAAUGUCAUGAUAUGUAACAAGUAUGUGGUCAUGCAUGUUAUACACUGCAUUGUUGUGCUUGAUUGAUGGUGAAUCUAAUGAAUUGGGGGAACAUAGGAGCUGGAUCCAACUUGCAACAUGGUUUCUCUGCCUUCAACUUCAACUCAAGCACUCUCCUAUUGUGCCAUGUGGUGGAUUCAAAGGUGUUGGCUUUUGGUUUGCGGGUAAUGGAAUCUAUUUUCAUCUAGAUAACUCUUUUGUUGUUAAACUAUCACUUUGGAAGUGUUUAAUGUGCAGAUAAGUUUAACAAUGCUUAAAAGGUUAACCUUUGAAUCAUUACCCACAAACAAAAAAUCAACAUCUUUGAAGCUUAUGGUGGAAACCAAUCCAAAAACGUCACCAAAUCACAUUGCACAAUUAGAGAGUCCUUGACUUGAAGCCAAAGCAAGAGAAUCCAUGUUUCAAGUUGAUCUGGCUCUUUCCUUCUUCCUCGAGUAAUCAUAAACAAUAUAUCACAACUCAAGCUCAUUGUUCAGAUUCACUGUCAACCUAAUAUAACAAGACAGUGUAUAAAAUGUAUGCCCUCUUGUUACAUAUUAUGCCUUUCGAUCAUUGGUAUCCAUGUCUGCACUAGAGGGUUGUUAGACAAUGGCCAAUGACAGCCACUUUUGCUUGUAUUUAGAAAUUUUAUCAACCAAUAUUUAGUUGGCAUACUAUUUGGUCAAAUUAAUUAAUAUAAUUACAAAGACUUUCUCUCA